UGCAAGUGGUGGGGUCUCGCCGCAGGAGCUUGGGCCUCGAAACCCCGGCACGGACUCCGGGCCUCGGUGUCUGCCAGCUGGGCCCUGAGCGCCUGCAGCAAGGACCUGGGGCCGAGCUAGCAGGGCCCCCGCGCAGGCCGCAAAGAAGGGGGUGGGAGGCCAAGGUGGAAAUACUGUUCCGUCCGCCCUCACCCUCACCGUCCGCGCGGGAGCGGAGGUCAGCGGUAAACCAGUCAGGUCAGGUUCUCUAGUGGCCGAGGAGCUGGGAUGGAAGAGUGAGCAGAAGCCAGGAGAGAGCCGGGCAAACCUCUGAGCCUCCUCACGCUCUGCCCAGUGAGACACCAGGACCCUUCUCUAGCUUCCUCCCCUCCAGCCUCCCGCCUCUCAGUGAGCACCUUCGGCCUAGCAUUCGAGGCCCUUCCAUGACAGUCCCAACCCCUCAGUCUUAUUUGCUCUUGUCAAAUAUUUCCCAAACUGCUAAGUUCCACUUUUAAAAUAUUCUUGCCAGAUCUGUCCGGGAAUGGUGGCCUCUCGAUGGAUCGCUAGACGGAGAAGCGGACGGAGCCCCAGGGAGUGUCUCUGGAGUAGGGUGCUCUGCAGGCACCAUUCCAGGGGCCUUGGAACUACGUCCCCCUCGGCCAUGAAAGGGGAACAUUUACCCUGGAUGCUGUGAUCUCUGAGCUCCCUGGAGGCAUGAGCGGAGUCUUUAAAUGGCUCCCUGGAUCACUCAACAAACCUCUGAAUGCUUCAAGUCCUGACACCUGGUUCCUGACGCACUGACCACGCAGCCUAAGGGACUGAAAUCAAAGCAAGCAAUGUCCACUGUGCAAGACGUGCCAUGGACACAGUGGAGGGACAUCAGGAUACCAACACAUGUUUCGAGACCCGGACUCCCAAACUACUAUCUCAAGUGAGGCUGCCACUCGCAUCUGAUGGUGACACAGGAGAGCCACCCAAGGAUGGCCUUUCUUGAGGCAGGGUUGGGGGCGAGAGCCAAGCACUAUUUUCAGGGACCACAGCUAACACUCAGGAUGUGCACACAGCCCCACCCCCAGCUCAGAUGCAGGGGACAGUUCCCAGUAAGGGAGCCCGUGUCUCUACCUCCUCCUGCUUUUCCUCCAGCGUGGCCGGGCCUGACCGUGGGCCCUGAGCCUGGAGAGAACACUCGGGCAGCCACUCAAGCGGCCCUGCAGCGAGAGCCCCGAGCCUUGGGCUCCAGCUCCAUGUGGGAAGGUCAGCGGGGUCCUGGCUUCACACACAGAGCCAGCAGCUCCCAAAGGCACCAUCUCCUGUGACCCAGAAAGCAUUUCCUGACAAGGAUGCCCAUGGCCUGGGACCUGGAAACAGCAGCACCAUCAGCGAGUGGUGGAGGAGGAGGCACACCCAGAGCCACAUGCCCGGGGGCCCAGCAGGACAGACACCCAGAUUCAGGGCACAGCACGAAGGACUGGCCUUGCUUCGUCUUCUCCUGCUUGGCCCAGCGAGGACGGGGUGGGGCAAGCGAGGGAAGCCCCUCCAGCCACUGCCACAGUGCAGGAGAGGACACAGAGACCCAGAGAAGGAAGCAGGGAGGGGAGUGAUACGAGGCCAAGCAACACCAGGAGUACCCAGAAGGUGGAAGAGGCAAGGAAGGAUCUUCCCUGAGAGCCUCUGCAGGGAGUGUGGCCCUGCCACCACCUCGGUUUUGGACUUCAGCCUCCAGGACUAACCCAACAUCAGCAGAGAAUAUCGGCAUGUUCAAGGCAUACGGUAGUCAUUGUGGAAGGGAAUCUGAGCCAGCUUCUGACCAGCAGCCUGGAAGAGCAGAAAGGAAUCAACCAGUGCUUCCUGGACACCUCCACAGUGCCCAGAAAAUCCCCCAGAGGAACAGAGCGCCCUGGUCCCAAUUAGAAAUAAAGUCUCCCAGACCCUA